UCUCUCCACCUUCUUCUAAAUAUUUCUUCCCUACACCUCCUCCCCUACAAUACACCUCCUCCCCUACAAUACACCUCCUCCUGCACAAAGAAACAGAAAACAAAUAUCACAGAAGAACAAAAAUAGUCUUGGUGAUGAAGCAGAUUUACCUGAAGAGAGAUGUCUCAAUUAAGGUAAAGGCAAAGCGCACUUGUACGGAAGACGGUGGCAUUGCAAGCAAAGAUUGUGGCACGUGCAUAGGGACCAUGGCUGGGUUUUUUAGAAGAAGUUACGGAAGAAGUUGUUUUGAGUAUUUUUCGAAGUUUAAGUUAUAAAUGAUGUUCAUGUAAGAGUUAUAUUUCCGUAUUAAAGAUGAGCAUGC